rnacentral:rRNA from 1 species
ACACUCCUACGGGAGGCAGCAGUGGGGAAUUUUGGACAAUGGGCGAAAGCCUGAUCCAGCCAUGCCGCGUGCAGGAUGAAGGCCUUCGGGUUGUAAACUGCUUUUGUACGGAACGAAACGGCCUUUUCUAAUAAAGAGGGCUAAUGACGGUACCGUAAGAAUAAGCACCGGCUAACUACGUGCCAGCAGCCGCGGUAAUACGUAGGGUGCAAGCGUUAAUCGGAAUUACUGGGCGUAAAGCGUGCGCAGGCGGUUAUGUAAGACAGUUGUGAAAUCCCCGGGCUCAACCUGGGAACUGCAUCUGUGACUGCAUAGCUAGAGUACGGUAGAGGGGGAUGGAAUUCCGCGUGUAGCAGUGAAAUGCGUAGAUAUGCGGAGGAACACCGAUGGCGAAGGCAAUCCCCUGGACCUGUACUGACGCUCAUGCACGAAAGCGUGGGGAGCAAACAGGAUUAGAAACCCCUGUAGUCCCAUGA